UACAGCUUGCUUGAUGUUGUCACCUUCGU
rnacentral:piRNA from 1 species